GAGCCCGGAUUUAAGAUGUGCCCUUCUCUGUGGGCUCUCGUAGUAUACCCUUAUCAGAGUAAACCAUUGCCCAGCCUCCUCACCUGUGUGCUCUGAGCGCGGAAGGGGGUUGUACAGUG
rnacentral:snoRNA from 1 species